rnacentral:lncRNA from 1 species
UCAUGUGUUAUAAACACGUGACAAGAAACAACAAAGAGCUCAGAAAAAUCUGUGUUGUUCACGUAUCUACAACUCAUUUCAUCUAUUGAAAGUGUUUUAUCAGAAAAACAGAAACCAAAAUAAUCAAACAUGGGAGACAUAGAUCCAUCUUUCAUACAAUCAACAGAACACCGUCCCAACUUAUCUACCUUCAUACAAGUUGAUGAAAUUCCAAUCAUUGAUCUCUCAGAAAGCAAGCAAGAAAAUCUCAUCUCAAAGAUUGGCAAAGCAUGUGAAGAGUGGGGAUUUUUUCAAGUAANNNNNNNNNNNNNNNNNNNNNNNNNNNNNNNNNNNNNNNNNNNNNNNNNNNNNNNNNNNNNNNNNNNNNNNNNNNNNNNNNNNNNNNNNNNNNNNNNNUAGAGGAAAAGAAGAAAGUGAAAAGAGAUGAAGCUAAUGCUAUGGGGUAUCAUGAUGCUGAACAUACUAAGAAUAUAAGGGAUUGGAAAGAGGUUUUUGAUUAUCUUGUUGAGAAUACUACACAAGUUCCUUCUUCUCAUGAGCCACAUGAUUUGGAGCUAAGAACUCUCUCUAAUCAAUGGCCACAAUACCCUCAUCAUUUUAGGUAAUCUUAAUCUUAUCAAAUGAUUACAAGAAUAUUAAAUAGAUAUAAUUAGGCUUGUUUUGAUUUCAUCUGCUUAUUUAAUUACUUGUGACUUGUGAGACACUGUUUGAGAGAGAACUUAUUAAAAUUGUAGUUUAAAUGGAAUGGUAUUUUUUUGGUUGGCUCUCACCACCAGUUUAAUCUGGUUCGGGGUCAGUUUAAAUGGAAUGGUUUUGUUUUGUUAUUGCAAAUAAGUGAAUUGUUGACGGUAGAGAAUCUUAAUUCAAUAACUUUUUUAAAUAAGUUCCUUGAAAAUUAAGUAUAUGUCAUGCUUUAGUGAUUAAGAAAUAGAGCUUCGAAAGAAAUGAAAGGAUUUUGGUAUAAAUCUUCUGUCAUUGUGUUCAAUAGUUGGAAUUUGAAUUGUUAAAAAUAAGUUGUUAGUAAUAAAGUGAGAACAUUAAGGAUCGAUAUUUUAACCAUUCAUGAUUUGUUAUGCAUGUGCAUAUAAUAUAAAGAGUUGAUAUGUUUAUCAAUAAUUGAUAUCAAUCACUUACUCGCCUAAGUGAGUUGAUCAGUUUUGAGGAUCCUUAUCGAAAUAGUUGAAUGAGUUUCGUUUUGAUAGUCAAUUGAUUUCAUAUUAAUAUCAUUUAGAAGUGAAACCCUCGUUACGAUUCGGUGCAUACUUAGAUUGACAUUGAAUUUGAAGGAAUCACAAUGCCACUAUGAUUUUAGUAAAAGUUACAUGUGUGAGCUUUAACAAAAUCUCAGUGCCACUGUGAUUUCACCAAAUGUUUCCUCUAAUCCAAACACGUACUUAGUCUUACGGUGAAAGUGUUUUAUAGUUAUCACAUGAUCAUGCAUAUGGAUAACUUCAACAAUGAUCACAUGAAAUCAAACUCCAUUAUAAGUACAGAACUAAAUGCAACAGAAAAACUAAAUUGAAGAUUAUAUUUUUUUAUUUUUUACUUAGGGAAACAAUGCAGGAGUAUGCUAGGGAAGUGGAAAAGCUAGCAUACAAGUUAUUGGAGUUGUUUUCAUUAAGCUUAGGCCUAACUGGUGACAAAUACCAUGACUGCUUCAAGAACCAACUAAGCAUGGUGAGGCUCAAUCACUAUCCUCCAUGUCCUUCCCCUGAUUUGGCACUUGGCGUUGGUCGUCACAAGGAUUCUAGUGCAUUAACUGUGCUUGCACAAGAUGAUAUUGGCGGCUUACAAGUUAAGAGAAAAUCAGUUGGUGAUUGGAUUCCUGUUAAACCUACUCCUGGUGCAUUUAUCAUCAAUGUGGGUGACAUUGUUCAGGUAUGUUUUUCCAACAAUACCUGAGUUCGAAUUAUAUAUUAGUCGAAUUUUGUUGGUGACAUUGUUCAAGGACAGAUCAAUUUGGAAGAAUCCGAGUUCGAAUCUUGACUAAAACAAUCUUGGGUCAGACUUCACUUACCUUCCGGUAGAACUUCAAAUUACCAAAGUUACUUUUCUCUAGAAAUUGGAGGCUUAAGACAAAGAAAAACUUUAAAUUGAGUCAUUACUACUUCCUUGUUGUUAUAUGUUAUGUAGCACCGAUAUUUCAUAUCGAAUUUGUGUUUGGUGUCCGACUAGCGUUGGUGUCUGACACCACACAUGUAUUUAUUUAUAUUCAACUAUUCUAUUUUUUCAAAAUAUUAUCAGUCUCAACCUGUCGAUGUCUGGUAUGUAUGUAUCUUUGCUUUGGAGGUUAUAUGAUGUUUUGUUCAUUUCAUUCAAUUGGUUCCAUCUGAAUGUUGUUUUGUUUUUUCAGGUUUGGAGCAAUGACAAGUAUGAGAGUGUAGAACACAGGGUGGUAGUAAACACAGAGAAAGAAAGAUUUUCAAUUCCAUUCUUCUUUUUCCCAGGUCACCAUGUUAUGGUGAAGCCAGCAGAUGAGCUAGUGAAUGAGCAAAAUCCUGCAAAAUAUAAACCAUACAAUGUUGGUAAAUUCUAUGCUAAUAGAAACCGUAGUGAUUUCAACAAACGUGAGGUUGAGAAUAUCCAAAUUCAUCACUUCAAGAUCUUGGAUUAGCUAUAUAAAAUAUUAGCUCUUUUUUUUUUAAGUCUUAGGCAUCCCCUUUCUAUGGAAAGGAACUCCGGUAAUUCGAGUUCGACCAAGUAAUAAAUAAAGUUUGACAAAUGAUUGUUUUCAUAUCCCUAUUAUCCGGUGAUAGAAUAGAAAUAUAAAUUAGACGAUACUAACUUGAUCUAUAUUUGAGUUGCAUAUAUGCAAAAACUGAGUAUGGAUGUAUGUUUCAUCGUCGCCUCCGAUAGUUGGUUAGAAGGCGAUCAUGCAUUGCCAACCACCUAAAGGUUUGAAUUUUGUGCAGUCCUUUCCAAUUUCAUAUCAUGGUCCAAUCUCCCUCUAUCCGGUGUACAUUCUGCCGUUGCAAGUCAUAAGCACUAUGAGUAUGACGAAUAAAAUGACAAAAAUGCUAUGCUAGAGUUUAGCCCUUGGGUUCGGUGUCUCUAGGUGUAGGAAGGGCAUCCAACCAGUACACGAUGUUGGGCGAAAAAUUAUCAUUCAGGAAAUUAAGAUCCCAGUUACCUUCAUCCGUUAAAACAUCUUUCAUACAAUCCAAAAAACCAGACAUGGGAGACAUUGAUCCAUCUUUCAUACAAUCCACAGAACACCGUCCCAAAUUAUCUACCUUUGUAGAAUUUGAUCAUGAAAUUCCAAUCAUUGACCUCUCAGAAAAAAGUCAACAAAACCUCAUCUCAAAGAUUGGCAAAGCAUGUGAAGAAUGGGGAUUCUUUCAAGUAACCAAUCAUGGAGUUCCUUCUGAGGUUAGCACAAAGGUUGAGAUUGAAGCCAAG